rnacentral:tRNA from 1 species
ACCUGGCUGGCUCAGUCAGUAGAGUGUGUGACUCUUGAUCUCUGGACUGUGAGUUCGAACCCCACGUUGGGUG